CCCCACCCUGCACCCAAGCCCACGGAAGCUGCCCUUUGAGACUCCAGUGCCAAAGACGAGGGAGGCAUCACGAAAUAUUUCCUAUGAGAUAGACGUUGGUGGGAAAAGGGUUCCCACUAGGAAAUCCAAAGCGUCUCUCAAUAUUUGAAACGUGUCUCAUGCGGGGAACUGGCCGCCUGAUGGCAAAGGAGCAGUGCGGUACCAGGUGACAUUUAGGACCUCCAGUUAUACGUGGUCCUAGCUCCCGCCGGUGCCUCCCCUUGUCUGGGUCCAGUGAGGCCAGGAGCCAGAGAGACGAGUCGUGUGUUCUCGGCUCGGCCCCUGGGAUUCGAAGGGAAUGUGGCCCCGAGGGCAGACGCAGCGUGCACCUGCUCAGCGGACAGCCCGGUCCCCACACGAUGCCCCUUCUGCGUUCUCUGCUCAUGUAACCUUCAGCAGCUGUGCAGCGUUCCGGAGUGUGAUGUUCUAGAAGGUACUUGACCAUUCUUAAAUUGUGUGCUUAGAAACUGGGACUUCCCACUGAAACUGUCGGGCAGAGGGCCCCAGAGAAGCUUCAGGACCCUCUCUUGGGAGGCAUUUUCGUGGUUUUGAGGUCGAGUUCCACCCUAAGUAAGAUAGCGUUCCCAGUUCACCAGGCUCUGGGGCCAGGAGUGGGGGCUGGGGGUCCACGCAUGGGCAUCUAGACGCAUUGGAUGCCCCGGGGGAUGUCAGGAGGCUGUCAAAGGCACGUUUGGGUCACACUUGUGGAAAUUCUUAAAGACCAGGGCUUGAGCUUGGGGUCGCGAGCACACCCACACAAGCUUCUAUACACACGUGACUUCAUACAGCCCAGCCAGCUCUCCCCUGAGGGCCGGGUAGGGGUGACGGCGCGUUUGUAAGACUUUUGUGCCCGUGUAGCUGUGAAUGUCAACCAAAGCACAAUCAUGAGGUGGUUCUUUCUUCUUUUGUUUAAGUUUAUUUCUUCAUUUAUUUUGAAAGCGAGCUGGGGGAGGGGCAGAGAGAGAGAGAGAGAGAGAGAGAGAGGAUCCCAAGCAGGCUCCACACUCAGGGCAGAGCCCAGUGUGGGGCUUGAUCUCACGGACUGGGAGAUCCUGACCUGAGCAGAUAUCAAGUCGGACGCUCAACCGACUGAGCCACCCAGGCGCCCCCGUGAAGAAUGUGUGGUUCUUCCUCAGCCCGCUAAGCACACGUGCACGCUUGCACAUGUGUGCACACGUAGGGCACACCCACGCAUGCACCCACGUGGGGCGUGCCCUCCGUGGGUCCCGGCAGGCUGUUUGCAGGUCACGUGGCUCCACGUCCAGGCUCAGUCCGGCUGCGAGGAGGAGAAGGACGGCCCCGUGUGCGGAACCGCCCUGCCUCGCACGGGCUCCGUGGGGUUUGGUGAGACGCCGGCCCCUCUGAGCCCCGUGCCUUCCUCUGACAACGGGGCUGACAAAUGCCUACCUUGCAGGCCUUCUGGGUCGAUAGUGAAGUAUGGUGUGAGGGGUCUCGGGCACACGGCAGGUACGCAGCGAGUGGGUAUUUUACGUUACCACGGGCCGCGUGGGCGCUCGUUCGGUACAGCUGGGCAGGAGACUCCUGUCCUGGAAGGCUGGGGGCCGGCAGAUGGCUCGGGGACACGGGCCUGGGGUCCUCUGCGGCCUCAGGGAGGGGUGUCUUCAGCUUUGCCGAGCCCCCGGGGACACUGGUGAGCAGCGGGGGCUGCAGGGGCGCCUGUGGGGAGGGGGCGGGCAAGAGGCUGGAGCUGACAGACCGAGGUGACGACCUGCGGUCCUGGGGGUGACGGGCAGGAUGGGGAGGGACGCCAAGGCAUGGGGAGAAGGACGCAGGUGGUGGAGAGGGAGGACCCGGGACAGUCCUCGGCCCCAGUGAGAGCCGCGGGGUGGGGUGCUGGUAGUUUUAGCCACACUGGGUACGAUGUGCAAAUACCCACACUGUGCAGGCUGCCGGGAUAUGGGCUCAGAACAAAGUCGGGGUGCAGGUGGCCUCGGGGCCCCCACCACGGGGCCCACCUGGCCUUCAGGUGCUACCUGGAAAUGCAGGAAUCGGCCCUUUCGACUCGGAGACAGGGAGGGACGGUCCAGGCGGCUCCCUGCCCACCCUCCCCUGACCCCCCGAGGGCCCUCUUCCCCGCAGACGCCCCGGGGAUCCCGCCCUCGGUACCCACCCCUGUGUCCUCCUCCUUUUUCCCAGUCCCUCCCCUUGCUUGGCGUCCCCGGGGUCCCUCAACGCCCGCACGUGGGCCCAGGCUCUGCUUGGGACAAGCAGGCAUGUGCAGCUGUUUCCGGCCGGCCUGCAGGGUCCUCACAGGAGGGACCCCGGUGCCCUUGAGGCCCCUGCAAGGACAGGGCCCCGCGAUGGCCGCGAGGAGGGAGCCGAAAACAGAAGAAAGACCAGAGACAAAUCGGCCGGCGGCAACGGUCUCCGUGUGGCUGGAUCCGCAGUGGCCCCGCGGAGCCCAGCUUCGAGCUGGCGGAUGGCACCAUGUCUGACGUGGCUCAGCGUCCAGUGGCCGGGACCUUGGCCGGUUCAAGGCCGUUCUGGAACAGAAGGCGCUCAAAGCGGAGCCGCGAGGUCUGAAUUAUCCGAGCGCGGGAGGGACGGCCGGCCCACCUGGCCUCGUUCGCACACGGUUUCUCCAGGUACCAAUUUCUAGGGUCCUGGCUUCGAGACCUCAGACAGGACGACAGCUCAGAAAGCCGGGGACCUGGCAGGCGGCUUCGUGGACCGAAACAGCUGUUUCCACAGCGUGCGCCCCGAGGUUAGAGUCAGGAACUCCCCGCCUUUAACCUAGACCCCCCCGAGAAGGUCGCCGAUCGAGGGGUGUGCCGUGCCCAGGGAGGCCCAUCGGUGGAGAUCGCAUUCCCCGGUCAGUGACCUGCCGCCCCACCUAGAACAUGACCCACACGGGGAGACGGCUGGAUCGAGUUUCGACCCGAAUCGCUCCCGAGACAAAUCACACGAAGGCGUGAGCUCUCCUUCGUUGAACAUUCUUACGGCCUCAGCUCUGGCAGGCGUGACUUUGUGCCCUGUUCGCGGUCACAGGCCGUGUUCCGUCUGCCCGGCGUGUUUUAUUGGCACGAAAGCACAAAAAUGAACCAGGGAGCUCCCUCCCUGCCGCCAGCUCCCCCUCCCUCCCCCCUUCCUUCCCUGCCCUCCUCUCCUCUAUUAGCAAACGGGCCAUGCGGUGGCUUGAUUAUGUGUCCCCAAGGAUAUGUUGGGGUCCUGACUCUCUCAUGUCAGAACGUGACUCUGUUUAAAGACAGGGCGUUCACAGGGGCGCCUGGGUGGCUCAGUCGGUUAAGCGUCCGACUUCGGCUCAGGUCACGAUCUUACGGUCCGUGGGUUCGAGCCCCGCGUCGGGCU